CCUACGGGUGGCUGCAGUGGGGAAUAUUGGGCAAUGGGCGCAAGCCUGACCCAGCAACGCCGCGUGAAGGAUGAAGGUUUUCGGAUUGUAAACUUCUGUCGCGAGGGACGAAGAAUGACGGUACCUCGUAAGAAAGCCCCGGCUAACUACGUGCCAGCAGCCGCGGUAAUACGUAGGGGGCAAGCGUUGUCCGGAAUGACUGGGCGUAAAGGGAGUGUAGACGGUGCGCCAAGUCUGGAGUGAAAUGCCGCAGCUUAACUGCGGAACUGCUUUGGAAACUGGCGAACUAGAGUGCGGGAGGGGUAAGCGGAAUUCGUAGUGUAGCGGUGAAAUGCGUAGAUAUUAGGAGGAACACCGGUGGCGAAGGCAGCUUACUGGACCGUAACUGACGUUGAGGCUCGAAAGCGUGGGGAGCAAACAGGAUUAGAUACCCUGGUAGUC
rnacentral:rRNA from 1 species